rnacentral:lncRNA from 1 species
UUAACGAUUCUCAACUCAUCUUGUCGCUAAAAAGCCUUGAAGGGGGCCGUCGUUGCGGACUUUAAGUCGCUCUUGAUUAGAGUGGACUAUAAACAUUAGUUCUAUCGCUUCGGCUAGAACUUGGUUCUAUCGCUCUGGCAAGAACCCGAUUAUGUCGCUAAAUAGCCUUAAUCGAUUCCGUCGCUUUGGCCGGAAUUUAUCUUGUCGCUUCGGCCUCGAUAACACAGUGCAGUCGCCCUUGAUCAGGGAAGGACUAUAAACAUGAGUUACCGUGGCUUGGAACUCGAUCCAUU